rnacentral:rRNA from 1 species
GACAGAGGUCCCGAGCGUUAGGCGGAAUCACUGGGCUUAAAGCGUGUGUAGGCGGAUUGGUAAGUACCUUGUGAAAUCCCACGGCUUAACCGUGGAACUGCUGGGUAUACUGCUUAUCUUGGGCCACUUAGGGGUUACCGGAACAAACGGUGGAGCGGUGAAAUGCGUAGAUAUCGUUUGGAACGCCAAUGGUGAAAACAGGUAACUGGGAGUGUGCCGACGCUGAGACACGAAAGCCAGGGGAGCGAACGGG